rnacentral:misc_RNA from 1 species
UAGGCACACAAUUACUUGUAUGCUCAAGCAACCUACCCGAACUCUCGGCGGGCCACCGAUUGAGUUCCUAUUUGGUCUUGCUACGAGUGGAGUUUACCUUGCUGCCGAAUGUUACCACCGGCACGGUGUGCUCUUACCACACCCUUUCACCCUUACCUUUUUCCGAAGAAAACGGCGGUCUGCUCUCUGUUGCACUGGUCGUAGG